UUACGGCCACAGUACAUUGAAACACCGGUUCAUGUACGAUCAUCGAGCUUAAGCAACAACGAGCCUGGUCAGUAGCGAGAUGGGUGACCGCUUGGGAAUACCAGUUACUGUAA